UACGUAGGGUGCGAGCGUUGUCCGGAAUUACUGGGCGUAAAGAGCUCGUAGGCGGUUUGUCGCGUCUGCCGUGAAAGUCCGGGGCUCAACUCCGGAUCUGCGGUGGGUACGGGCAGACUAGAGUGAUGUAGGGGAGACUGGAAUUCCUGGUGUAGCGGUGAAAUGCGCAGAUAUCAGGAGGAACACCGGUGGCGAAGGCGGGUCUCUGGGAAGUAACUGGACGCUGAGAAGCGAAAGCGUGGGUAGCGAACAGG
rnacentral:rRNA from 1 species